GAUGAACGCUGACAGAAUGCUUAACACAUGCAAGUCAACUUGAAUUUGGGUUUUUAACUUAGGUUUGGGUGGCGGACGGGUGAGUAACGCGUAAAGAACUUGCCUCACAGCUAGGGACAACAUUUGGAAACGAAUGCUAAUACCUAAUAUUAUGAUAAUAGGGCAUCCUAUAAUUAUGAAAGCUAUAAGCGCUGUGAGAGAGCUUUGCGUCCCAUUAGCUAGUUGGAGAGGUAACGGCUCACCAAGGCGAUGAUGGGUAGCCGGUCUGAGAGGGUGAUCGGCCACAAGGGGACUGAGACACGGCCCUUACGCAUACGGGAGGCAGCAGUGGGGAAUAUUGGACAAUGGACCGAGAGUCUGAUCCAGCAAUUCUGUGUGCACGAUGAAGUUUUUCGGAAUGUAAAGUGCUUUCAGUUGGGAAGAAACAAAUGACGGUACCAACAGAAGAAGUGACGGCUAAAUACGUG
rnacentral:rRNA from 1 species